rnacentral:rRNA from 1 species
CCUACGGGGGACAGCAGUGAGGAAUAUUGGUCAAUGGGCGAGAGCCUGAACCAGCCAAGUCGCGUGAGGGAGUACUGCCCUAUGGGUUGUAAACCUCUUUUGUCGGGGAGCAAAAGCCGGACGUGUCCGGCUGUGAGAGUACCCGAAGAAAAAGCAUCGGCUAACUCCGUGCCAGCAGCCGCGGUAAUACGGAGGAUGCGAGCGUUAUCCGGAUUUAUUGGGUUUAAUGGGGGCGCAGGCGGAUUUUUAAGUCAGCGGUAAAAUCGUGGGGCUCAACCCCAUCCAGCCGUUGAAACUGGGGAUCUAGAGUGUGCGAGAGGUAUGCGGAAUGCGUGGUGUAGCGGUGAAAUGCAUAGAUAUCACGCAGAACCCCGAUUGCGAAGGCAGCAUACCGGUGCACAACUGACGCUCAGGCACGAAAGCGUGGGUAUCGAACAGGAUUAGAUACCCCUGUAGUC